ACAUGACCCUAGGAGGACCCUGGGAUUGGCUGAGGGGGUGGAGCAGCUUCCAUUUUAACCCAGGCUCUCAGAGGGAGAAGCACCAGUCUGAGAUGAUCAGGCAAGAAAGCAACAUCAGCCUGAGCUUCUCCUGGAACACCUUGGAGGUCAUGGACAGAUAAACACAGAUGGAAACAAAGAACAGCUUGACUUGGUACGGAAACUGAGUGGUUCUGCAGGCAUAAGGGAUAAAAGAGCCUUCCAUUGUAUAUGGUGUAUCAAGAUUACAGAAACCGCUUGCUGUGGGCCACAACAGGCAACUCUGGGAAUGAAAUUAGCAGGACCACUCUUAAGUUUCUAGAUACCUGACUCAAGACCCUGGGGUCUCAUUUGCAGGAGUGCUGACAACUAAAACUGGAGGCUUGGGAGUUGUACAUUAAACAUAUGAAGUCCUCUAUAAUGCCAAGUACUUCGAAUGCCUGGAUCCUAACUGCCCCAAAUGGGCCAUCUAAAAUGAAGAGAUACUUUUGGAAUGAAUCUCUGAAUGUCUUUGUGACUUAUAGGCUUUCUAUUGCAGUGUUUGACUUCUCCAAAUUGAAGGAGAGAAGCAAUGGGGAUGAGACAUGAAUAUCGGUGGUGUCUCGGCACAUUCAUGGAAAGAGGGUGUUGCAAUUAGCAGCCAUGCAGAGUCAAUGUUUCUGAAGGUGUAUUGGAAGUUUUCCAUGUGGGCAAGCCACAUGGCCGAACAUGCUCAGUCAUCCUUCAAGAGUUGAGCCAAUUAGAACAAAAGGAGAAAUUAAAAAUAUGGCAGCUAAAAGCAGCCCUAUGGUCUCAGUAACUGAUUCACAUAGAUGUUGUAGAAGCUGUGUCUCCAUACCUGUAUCACUUUGGAUAGCAGCUACAGCUUCACACUGUUUCAUAGGUAACUGGGCUAGAAUUCCUUGUAUCUGUGAAAGCUCAUGACUCUUUGUCAGCUGGCAGGAUCCUAACAUUUUUGUAAAUGAGUGAGAUGUAUCUUUUCUGCUUAGGCUCUGAAAUGCCCAGGUAACACAAAACAUAUGGUCACACUGUAAAGACAGAGAUCCCUACUCUGAGUGAAGAUCAGAGGAAAAUGUGUAUGUAUUUAUACUAAAGUAUAGAGAUAGAAAAUGCUAUGUUGAAAGCUUAUAUUUGAAUGUAUAUAAAAGCAACAUGAGGAAUGCCCAUAGCCUUUAGAGCAUAUCUGUAUGGCACAAUGCAGUGGGGAAUGAUCUGAGAGCCAACACUGCUUGCUAACUCUGGAACUAAAAGGAGUAUAGCCAUAUUUGGGCUAGGGAAACAUUCAAACAGCCAGAGCCUGAAUUAGUUUAACCUUUGCAGGUUGGUCUAACCUGCAUAGGCUGAACUGGUUUGUAACAGGACACACAUUCUCUCUGGACUGAGGCAAUGCAGGCACAUGCCUGCAGUUGCUCGGGCCAGGAGCUGGGGGGCACUAGAGCUGCAGGAAAGAUGUACUGGCGGGACACGGCCAGUCUAAACUGAACUGGCCAGAGAGGGAUUUAAUUCCUCCCUCUCUAUCCCACUUCCAGGGACCCAGAUGGGGUCUGUAGGGUGCUUCCCCCUUGCUGCUGCAGUAGCGGGGCACCAUGUGCCUUGAGGCAGGAGGAGAGUUAGUCUCCCUUCUACCCGCACUGGCAGGUGGGUCUGCCUGCCCCUACAGCUGCGCUCCCUGCCCGGGAAUAGGCCUCCUGCUGUCCCGUCCACUGGACGAUGGAUGGAGGAGGAAUAACCCUGUCCCUGCCCUGCUCACCACAAGAGGCCCUGCUCUACCCAUGCUUCCUCCCCAAUGCUUCACAAGCCCCUUCCCAGCAGGAGCACUGUGCUGUGGGGCCAGCAGAGCUGCAGCAGGCUGUGCAUG